UAUUCAGAAUUCAUUUUUAGAAGAGGUAAUAAUGAGACUCUUGAAGGGGGUCUUGCCUCUCUUCUUCAGUCUGUGCUCCCCAACUGUGUGGAGAUACCAUUCUGAAAUUCCCAUUGAGG
ensembl:misc_RNA